rnacentral:rRNA from 1 species
UACGACGGGUGCAAGCGUUAAUCGGAAUUACUGGGCGUAAAGCGCGCGUAGGUGGUUCGUUAAGUUGGAUGUGAAAGCCCCGGGCUCAACCUGGGAACUGCAUCCAAAACUGGCGAGCGAGAGUAUGGCAGAGGGUGGUGGAAUUUCCUGUGGAGCGGUGAAAUGCGUAGAUCUAGGAAGGAAAACCAGUGGCGAAGGCGAACACCUGGGCUAAUAAUUAAACUGAGGUGCGAAAGCGGGGGGAGCCAACAGGAUUAGAUACCCGGGUAGUCC